rnacentral:lncRNA from 1 species
CGUUAAAAACGUUAGGUUUAUACACUCCCAUAAGCUCCUCCUUUGGAAGAGAAUAGAAAACAAGCAACUUAUGACUACACACUUCAUUGACGAGACACAAAAGAAAAAACAACACGUUAAUUUUCAAAAGGUUUUGACAAGAUCGAUUUUAUAUUUCUUCAUCACAGACCGUGCUUAUUUUCAAGGAAAAUAAUACUUGUUUUGCAAACAUCUGGAUUAAAUUUUUUUGUUUUUGUUUUCUGAUGAACUUAAUAUUGAGGGUUUUAUUUGGUUAUAUUUCGGGUGGUUAUUAAAUUUUUUGGUGUGUAAUUUGGUGAUAGUUUUAUUAGAAAACUCACAUUUGUGUUUUGUUGAUGUGCAGGCAGGUUCUAAGUGUAGAUGUGAGAAGAAAAAGGUGAAAAGGUCCAAGAAUAUACAAAUGAUAGGAAAGAAGAGUUUUUGAUAAUUGAAUACA